rnacentral:rRNA from 1 species
GAACACACUCCUUCGUCUAUAAUUAAUAGCGCGUGUGCUUUUCUCCCUCCCCCGCGUUUCUCUCUUCCCUGAUCCUGUGCUCUUGGUCUUCUCUCUCUCUCUCUCUCUCUCUUCUUUUCGCUCUCUCUCCAUCCCUCUAACGACCUCGACCUAGCCCCGCGGCCCGGCCGGCACGUCUAGCCUCCUCCAGUACUUGUUGAUUAGCUGUGAGUAAAUAAUACCUAAACGUGGUCGAUAAGUUCAUGUCUAACUGACCACGAUUGCAGAAGACGCUUUAAGGGUGUCUCUUGUUAAAUCGCUUGAGAAGGACCGUUUGAUCAGGUGACUUCAAUCUCAAGUCGUUGAGAGGUAUGUGGGGAGAAAGAUGGGUCGAACUCACACUGUUAAACAGACGAGAAUCGUUGUGAGGUCUAUUGGUCUCGAGAUGACUUUGGUAAAGUCGGGUUGGUUAGAGGGGCGAACUUCGUCUGUCGAGUAUGUAUUUCCGUCCAUCGUAGGCACUCUUGUAGGUUCACUCUGGACUAGGUAACAUACGUUGUAGUUCUGUAUUAUACGUUGUCUGAAACGCACUGUAACUCUUGCAAGACUACCGUGGACUACGCCUACUACGUUGUUGCUCGUGUUUCGUACUCAAACUCCUGUGGUUCGGACGAGUCGAGUACGCCGUCGCCAGCUCCUGUACCUCGGUACUCAGUGCUGUCGGCAACGGACCUCAACAAGCAGGUGUGAAACGUAGACCACCUAUGGGGUGCCGUUCGAUACUCAAGGCGGGUCUCUUUGCUGUUUCCCUCAAUUCCCUGCUAGCCGUCGUGUAACACUUCCCAGAUAAUUGGUUCACACGACUCCGUAAUUCACUCCUGUCCUGUCUCCUCAAGGAUUUCGAACAAGUCCUCCGAGCACCCUGACAAAGUUAAUUGCCCCUUGGCUAGGUCGCAAAUCCACGAAUGGAUGAGCUCCCAAACCAACGAUCCGUACCCUUGAGACCAUGUUUGUAGAUGGCACGAGACUUUACGGCCCUCGGCCUCUCGUUCCUCGAAGAGAGGAUGUACUUCUAAAAUAUGUUAUAGACAGGAAUGAAGUUCAAACCUAUGUACCGUCGAUUACCCCGCUAACGUCUCCGUAACUCUUCGCUCCUGUUGUAGGUGUAUUAACUAAAAGUCUAACGAGUUCCCUGAGUUACCUAGUGUGACUAUGUUCGGGAUCGACGUUCCGGACCCCCAGGUGGAGUACACGCCUAGUGACCUUAUCUACUGGGCCAUAGUCUCAUACGGGCUCCACUUCCGGACCUCUAUCAACCUUUGUACGAUUGUUCGUACAGAUUUCUCAAGUUAUAUGGAAACCUUAAAUGUGGAGAUAGACAGAUACGAUGGGUUCAGUGUCUCCUUUACGAAUUCUAGUCUGGUCCACUUCGUCAACGACAGUUGAAGUGGGAGGUCGACGUGGUAUGGGGCCUGCUCUCGCACCUGCAGUUGUUGGGUGCCCUGCCCAACGAGGCGUACCACUUUCCCGACAGGGGCUUCCACUGGUGCAACCACCUUGUCCUCAGCGUGUGGUUGUGCUGCGGAAAGAACUACUCCAAAAACCUCUGGUACCUAAUGAUGAGACGGUACAAGCUCAGGUAGCUGCGGUUGAACGGAGCUCUGUCGUUCCUCUCCUAUUCACACCUCGUUGUGACGGACCGGUUCCUGUAGCACUUGUAGUAGCGGACGCUCCCCUUCCUGUCUCACCUCUCCGUACUCGACGAACCGUUCACCUUUAGUUCCGACUCGUACCGCCCGAAGUUCGGAAUGGGCGACUCGAGUAUACACUUGAGCCACUAUUUCUUCGAGGAGCGCACGAUGAGCCUGUUCAUGUGCGACCUCCUCUUCCUACCCUGUUACGAGAACCCGACCUUGUGGUCCUUCAACUAUAGACGGAGACGCACCGUGACUGUCAACGAGUCGCCUUCUUCUUUUCUUUUGUCUCCGUACGAGAACAACCAGCCGUUUCAAAAGGUGAGUGCCUCGUACGAGACUCCUACGUCUCAUAUGGGACCAGUACCCCGGACACUUCUAUUCAAAACGUUCC